UACGUAGGGGGCAAGCGUUGUCCGGAUUUAUUGGGCGUAAAGAGCGUGUAGGCGGCUUUACAGGUCCGUUGUGAAAACUCGAGGCUCAACCUCGAGACGCCGGUGGAAACCGUAAAGCUAGAGUCCGGAAGAGGAGAGUGGAAUUCCUGGUGUAGCGGUGAAAUGCGCAGAUAUCAGGAGGAACACCCGUGGCGAAAGCGGCUCUCUGGGACGGUACUGACGCUGAGAUGCGAAAGCGUGGGGAGCAAACAGG
rnacentral:rRNA from 1 species